UUUAGUGGCGGACGGGUGAGUAACACGUUGGUACCUGCCCCAAAGCGGGGAAUAACCGGCCGAAAGGUCGGCUAAUACCGCAUGUGAUCCUUCGGGAUUAAAGCAGCAAUGCGCUUUGGGAGGGGCCUGCGUCUGAUUAGCUUGUUGGUAGUGUAAUGGACUACCAAGGCGACGAUCAGUAGCUGGUUCGAGAGGAUGACCAGCCACACUGGGACUGAGAUACGGCCCAG
rnacentral:rRNA from 1 species